GACGAACGCUGGCGGCGUGCUUAACACAUGCAAGUCGAACGGAAAGGCCCUGCUUUUGUGGGGUGCUCGAGUGGCGAACGGGUGAGUAACACGUGAGUAACCUGCCCUUGACUUUGGGAUAACUUCAGGAAACUGGGGCUAAUACCGGAUAGGAGCUCCUGCUGCAUGGUGGGGGUUGGAAAGUUUCGGCGGUUGGGGAUGGACUCGCGGCUUAUCAGCUUGUUGGUGGGGUAGUGGCUUACCAAGGCUUUGACGGGUAGCCGGCCUGAGAGGGUGACCGGCCACAUUGGGACUGAGAUACGGCCCAGACUCCGACGGGAGGCAGCAGUGGGGAAGAUUGCACAAUGGGCGGAAGCCUGAUGCAGCAACGCCGCGUGCGGGAUGACGGCCUUCGGGUUGUAAACCGCUUUCGCCUGUGACGAAGCGUGAGUGACGGUAAUGGGUAAAGAAGCACCGGCUAACUACGU
rnacentral:rRNA from 1 species